rfam:Malassezia globosa CBS 7966 mgl_sf_1.1, whole genome shotgun sequence.
GGCAAGAUGGCCGAGUGGUCUAAGGCGCUGUGUUCAGGCUCGUAUUUCAGCGAUACCUCAACAGCAAUUUCGCAGUCUCCCUGAGGCGUGGGUUCGAAUCCCACUCUUGUCA